ACUUUUUGACCCCUACAUUAGAAUUUGAUCCUACAUCAUCACACAGAUAACGUGAAACAUACACCACACCAAAAAGAGCUCAUAUUAAAAAAGCAAGAUAAAAUUUACAAGAGAAAGUAUGAACAUAAUUAGGAAUAAGAUGAAACAGGCGGGCGCAUAACUCUCUUUCCCAUCAAAUCAAAUAUAAAGCAAGCUCCAUGCAAACUUAGAUCCUAGUGUUUUUACCUCAUUGGUGCUGCUUCUUCUGCAAGCUGAUGUUAAAGUUGGAACAUCGUCGGUUUUCACUUGUUAUAUACUCCACGGGGAACUUUAACUACUCUCAUUAAUUCACAGGAUCAAUAUACCAGUUCCUUUUAAGACAAAGAGUCUUCAUGUUCUGGCAGCGAUGGUGAGGAUCCACCGCUAAGUUUGCUGGGAACUGGUGUAUUUC
rnacentral:lncRNA from 1 species